AUUUUUUUGGCAGCACAUAUACUAAAGUUGGAAUAGUGUAGAGAAGAUUAGCAUGACUCUUUGCACAAGGAUAACAUGCACAUUUGUGAAAUAUUCCAUAUAAAA